UACCGCAUACGUCCUACGGGAGAAAGCAGGGGACCUUCGGGCCUUGCGCUAUCAGAUGAGCCUAGGUCGGAUUAGCUAGUUGGUGAGGUAAUGGCUCACCAAGGCUACGAUCCGUAACUGGUCUGAGAGGAUGAUCAGUCACACUGGAACUGAGACACGGUCCAGACUCCUACGGGAGGCAGCAGUGGGGAAUAUUGGACAAUGGGCGAAAGCCUGAUCCAGCAAGGGCGCGUGUGUGAAGAAGGUCUUCGGAUU
rnacentral:rRNA from 1 species